AGCCAAACAUCAGCAGGGUGGGAAGUGUUCUCCACCUGCAGUGUGAAGGGGAGAGAGUGAAUAUUUGCUUAAUGAUAAUCUAAACUGUCACAAAAACCCUGGCCCUAGAGAGUGGCUCGACCAGCUUUAAUGUUGUGAUGGGCCACAAUCUAAGAGGCUCUGAGAUUGCUAUUGCUUUAAAGUUAAUUAAUAAAUGAAAAUAAAUGCCAGAAUCUGACAUACCCUGAGGGAUGAGUCACAGUGACAGCUAGUGCAGGUGCACCCCACAGCCAUCUGCCAGGAACUUCAACUCUCAGAGGCACCAAGUAUGUUGGGCAAUUGACCUUGGGGGUUCUGGCCAACUCAGGGGUGGGAGAUUUGAGAUCGUCACUUGCCUCCUGCAGGUGGAUCCAGCACACGCUUUAAUAACUCCAAAUUCAACUUUAAACUGCAGCUGCUGUCAUCGCCUGGGGACCCUUAUCUUUUUGCAUGUUAUCGUAGAUCAGUUGCCCGCUGCUGCAAUAAAGAACUCUCAGUGGGUUGCCUGGAAUUUCUAACUCAGUGCUCAAAAAAACCUGGUGGAUAAAUCAGAUGGGCUUUUUGUUCAACGGUGAUUGGUGCUAGACUCAAGCAGGCAAUCAUGGGGUCUUGGCUUCCUGGAGGCAGCCCCCACUGCACCCAUGAGCUCAAGGGAGGACAUUUGCUUCCCCUGCAGAUGAGGGCAGUGGUGGUGUGGCCAGGUAGUGGCAGGGGUGGAAGGUGCUGGACAAACACCAUGCUGUAUAGCGUUCACCUGUAUCAUCUGGCAUUUGUGAAAAGGCAUUUGCCAGCUUUCUUUAAUGCUUGUUUGGUUCCCAACCAUGUCCUUACCACUAUACAGUGAAGGGAACAGGGUGGUCGGUCAGGCAUUAGAUCAGCCAUCAUCUCAUAAUCAAAAAAUCAAAAAAUGAUAGAUGGCAUGGAUGUGGUGAAAAGGGAACAAUUCUACACUGCUAGUGGGAAUGUAAACUAGUGCAACCACCAUGGAAAACGGUGGCGGGGAGGGGGGGGCGCAGAUUCCCUAAAGAACUAAAAGUAGAACUACCAUUUGAUCCAGCAAUCCCACUACCCGGUAUCUACCCAGGGGAAAAGAUGUCAUUAUACGAAAAAGAUACUUGCUCACGCGUGUUUACAGCAGCACUAUUCACAAUUGCAAAAAUGUGGAAGCAACCCAAACGCCCAUCAAUCAAUAAGUGGAUAAAGAAACUGUGAUAUACUGUGAUAUAUAUAUACGCACACAUAUAUAUAUAGCGUGUGUAUACAUAUAUUUACGUGUAUAUAUGUAUAUAUACCACUCAGCCAUAAAAAGGAAUGAAUUAAUGGCAUUUGCAGCAACCUGGAUGGGACUGCAGACUAUUAUUCUAAGUGAAGUAACUCAGGAAUGGAAAACCAAACAUUGUAUGUUCUCACUCGUAAGUGGGAGCUAAGCUACGAGAAUGCAAAAGCAUAAGAAUGACACAAUGGACUUUGGGGACUCAGGGAGAAAGAGUGCGAAGGGAGUAAGGGAUCAAAGACUAUAAAUUGGGUUCAGUGUAUACUGCUAGCGAGAUGGGUGCACCAAAAUCUCACAAAUCCCCACCAAAGAACUUACUCACAGAUCGGCCAUCAUCAGAUUGGAGUACUCACACCUCUGGGGAUACAUGACAAACCCUCUUUCAUUAUAUUAAAAGUGUACCAGAUGUAGAUGAUGGGUUGAUGGGUGCAGUAAACCACCAUGGCACGUGUAUACCUAUGUAACAAACCAGCACAUUCUGCACAUGUACCCCAGAACCUAAAGUAUAAUUUUAAAAAUGGGUUUAUCAGUCAGGAUACUAACACAAAACAGAAAGCACACUCAAAUUGGGUAAUUCAAAGAAAGUUUAAUACAGGAAAUGUUUAUAAAGGUGUGGGUGAAGUAAAGAAAGCCACAAAGGAUGGUGCAGCUCUCUAGGGUUAGUGGGGCCCUGUGCAGUUAGAGAAGAAAGAGGUUUCUAGAAUCUGGAGACAGGAGAGGCUGUGUAGAAUGCGAAGGAGCUGUGACCUUCCUGAGAGAGAUGCAGCCACCCUGGGUCAUCCCACAGAUGGAGCCCAACUUUAUUCUUCCCUGCCCUGACCUCCAACCACUGGCAGGGAACAUAACUUGGAAGCAGCAGAGAAGGGAGCCCAUUGCUGUGGUCCAUGCAACCAGCCUCCCAGGACAGAAGGAGGAUGGGGAAGGGUGGAUGGUGGAAGACGUCCUCACACAAAAGCCAUCACCCAGCCUGCGUCUUACAAAGGCGUUUUCCCCUCCUGGGAAAAGUCCUUCAGGGCACCAGGCAAAGACACAUUUUGAAAUAUUAGCCUGAGCAUUGAGAACACAAACAUCUCUGACAACUGGGUACCCCAUCUGGGUGUAUAACUGGAACCACAUCCCUUUACAGUCAAAUUGUUUUCAAGUCUUCACUUUCACUGAAAUUGAAGAGGAACCUAAUAGGGAUGUCAGCUCAUAGAUUAUCAAAAAUAUUUUUAUGAUAAAUCAUUGUGUGAUUUUUGGCACAUAACCUGGAAGGAGUCCAAACAAAUGCAUGGCUUCCAACAGAAGGCCCCCCCUUUCCCAUCUGCUUGUUUAUGUGAACAAAUGCUCAGUGCUUACACCAAUAAAAACAAAACGGUGUGAAUAAAAUUGAUGAUGAAACUGCCUCCUUAAAAUAACAAGUAAUAUUCAUGAAUACAUUAAUGGAAAAAAAACAAUCCCACCUAUCAUACUAAGAGAAGAAUAGCCAAAUAAUUUUACUUUUUUCAGAUUAAUAAUUCUUUAUCCUGAGCUCUGCCAUACUUAUGCUGCUUUGAUCAAUUGUGCUCUGCGAACAACCGGAAUGAUCAUCCAUAAUGAUAAGUUUAAAAAAAACUUGUUUUAAAAUGUAAAGACUUAUAGUCAGAGACAUUUUUAAAAUUUAAAUGUAAAUGUAUGAGCAUAUUUUUGUUGUAGUCAGUGAUAUGUGAUAGAGUAAUCAAUAAAAAAAACUUCCAAGAAUAAAACUAUGAUACAUUAUGAUCAAAUUCUUCUAGGGGUGUACAAGUGCUAGUUCUUUGAGUGUCCACUGCAGAGGAGACAAAACUCCACUUUCAACCUCUUAGGGUUCCAGCUGGGCUCUAGAAUGAAAUCGACAUAAAAUAGAUUAAGAGGAGAAAAGCAUACAAAUUUAUUUAGUACAAGUUUCAUGUGGCAUGGGAGACAUCUUAAGGAAAUGAAGACCCAAAGAAGCAGAGUCAGUCCCUCAGAUAGUGAAAUUGGACAGAGAACAGUAAGUUGUGAAAAAGCAGCUCACUCAUGUGCGGAGGCUGAAAAGAUAAGAGUUGUUUUAACAAGGUCUGUACAGAAUUAUCUCGGCUAGGACUCCCCAUCAAAGAAUGUUUCUUUUCUCCUGGCACAAAGAGGGCAUCUUUCCCAUGGGAAUUUUUAUCUCUCGUCUUCAGGAAGAAAAUGUGAGAUCAGAAUGCUCUUCUUGCAUCUGCUGUUUUUCAAGCACCUUUAGCUCACAGUAAUCCUCAAGUUGAAGCAGCGUAUUUGGGGUGGCACACUCUCUCACCCUUCACCACCUUUCUCAAAACCCUGAAACCGCCUGUAAUCCCAGCGCUUUGGGAGGCCGAGGCAGGCAGAUCAUCUGAGGUGGGGAGUUUGAGACCAGCCUGGCCAANNNNNNNNNNNNNNNNNNNNNNNNNNNNNNNNNNNNNNNNNNNNNNNNNNNNNNNNNNNNNNNNNNNNNNNNNNNNNNNNNNNNNNNNNNNNNNNNNNNNNNNNNNNNNNNNNNNNNNNNNNNNNNNNNNNNNNNNNNNNNNNNNNNNNNNNNNNNNNNNNNNNNNNNNNNNNNNNNCAAUAAAAAAAAAAAAAAACACAAUAUUUAGUUGAAGUAAUAGUAUAAACACCCACACUGCACUCAGUUGUUGGAUCACGGGACAUUUAUUCUAAUCACUUGGUUAGAAAGAAAUUUAGACUUUAGAAAGGCCCCACCGAACUAUUUAUAAGCUAGGAACCAAGAAAUAAACAAUUAUGAACUAGGGGUCAGUUUAUUCCUCCAAGUUACCAUAUACCUUAUUUACUCUGAGUUUAUCUACAUUGUUUUCUUCCAAGGAAAACUUCUAAUAAAGAUUCCUCAGAGCAUUUUUUUCCUUCUUUUUUCUUUUGUUUUGUGUGGUAAAUAAACUAUUGAUUUUGUUUUCAUGGUAAUUUAAGGGAUAAUUCAGCUCCACUUGAUAACUACCACCUUAGUGUAUUCAAAGUAAACAAAUUGUAGGGUUUCAAUUAGUUAUUUUUGCCAUCAAAAUCGACCACAUCAUGACAGGCACUGUGGAGAUUGCUGUGUGGGCUGUUUGCGCCCUAAGUUAUAUGUGACAUUAAUGAUUUGGAGACCAAUUGCCAAAGGGAAAAAAAUUGGUAUGAGACGCCAGAGAGACUCACCCAGAGUUGUGAGCUCUUCGAGGGUAAAUUAACAUUGGAUUUCUUAGGAAAAAAGUGAAUUGGGAUGUGAUUUGGGGGAAUUCAACAGAAUUGAUUCUAGUUAGGCCAAAAACAUCUUUCAAAUAUCUUUGCAGAAUGAGCGUAUUACCGGUUCACUGCGAGGGAAAGAACAGCAAUCUUUAAAGAGGCACACUCUGUCUUUGAGGACAAGGGUCCCCAAUCCCUGGGCACAGACAGAGACCAGUCCAUGGUCUGUUAGAAGCCAGGCCACACAGCAGGAGGUGAACGGCGGGUGAGGGAGCAUUACCGCCUGAGCUCCACCUCCUGUCAGAUCAGCAGAGGCAUUCAAGCUUGCCCAACCCACGGCCCGGAGCUAGCAUGCAGCCCAGGACGGCUUUGAAUGCGCCCAACACAAAUUUUUUUUUUUUUUUAAUUAUACUUUAAGUUUUAGGGUACAUGUGCACAUUGUGCAGGUUAGUUACAUAUGUAUACAUGUGCCAUGCUGGUGCACUGCACCCACUGACUCGUCAUCUAGCAUUAGGCAUAUCUCCCAAUGCUAUCCCUCCCCCCUCCCCCCACCCCACCACAGUCCCCAGAGUGUGAUAUUCCCCUUCCUGUGUCCUUGUGAUCUCAUUGUUCAAUUCCCACCUAUGAGUGAGAAUAUGCAGUGUUUGGUUUUUUGUUCUUGCGAUAGUUUACUGAGAAUGAUGAUUUCCAAUUUCAUCCAUGUCCCUACAAAGGACAUGAACUCAUCAUUUUUUAUGGCUGCAUAGUAUUCCAUGGUGUAUAUGUGCCACAUUUUCUUAAUCCAGUCUAUUGUUGUUGGACAUUUGGGUUGGUUCCAAGUCUUUGCUAUUGUGAAUAAUGCCACAAUAAAAUGCAGCCAACACAAAUUUGUAAACUUUCUUAAAACAUUAUGAGAUUUUUGUUUGCAAUUUUUUUUUUUUUUUUUUUUAGCUCAUCCGCUAUCAUUUGUGUUAGUGUAUUCUAUGUGUGGCCCAAGACAAUUCUUCCAACAUGGCCCAGGGAAGCCAAAGGCUGGCCAUCCCUGCAUUAGAUUACCACAGGAGCGUUCACCCUGUUGUGAACUGCGUAUUCGAGCGGUCUAGGUUGUGGGUUCCUUAUGAGAAUUUAACUAAUGCCUGAUGAUAGGAGGGGGAACAGUUUCAUUCCGAAACGAUCCCUCCCCACCACCCACCAUGCGUUGAAAAAUUGUCUUCCAUGAAACCAGUCCCUGUUGUGAAAAAGGUUGGGGAAGGCUGUUUUAGAAGACAUUAGGUUGUAAGUGACAGAAAACCCAUGUCCGACUAGUUUAAACGAAGGAAAGGAAUGUAUUGCCUCAUGCCAAGAAAAGGCCAAUGACAAGCUGGCUUUGAGCAUAUCCAAAUCCAGGGACUAUGACUCUUUUUCUCUCCAUCUCAGCACAACCUUCUUGACAUCAUCCUGAGGCACAUGUGACCCCCACCCAGGGGGCUCUGAAGGUGGAGUCUUACACCUUCCAUCCUUCCUCCCCUAGCAAGGCCCAGGGUGAGCUUUGAUUAGGUCUGACUGGGUCACAUGCCAUUCCUGAGCCAAUCAUUGUGGCCAGAGGGAUGUGGCACCCCAUUGGUCAAACCGGAGCCACAUGAUCAUUUCUGGAGCUGUGAUGAGACCAGCAAAGACAUGGUUCCCUGAGCAAGCUCACAGCAUGGCCCCAGAAGUGUGGGGUGAAGGCUGGGCAGGCACAAGACAUCUGCCCACCACACGUCCAUCCAGACAAACAACUCAUCAGCCUCCAGAGUCAACCUGAAGUCAUUGCGCAUCUUAGCCCUGUUGGCCUUUGGGUGCUGGGCCUCAUUGCCCCAUCUCUGUCCCCAACCACAAACACAGGGUACCCCCUGAGCCUCUGCUUCCAGAGCUUGACUUUGCCCACAUCCCUCCCUUUCACCCCUCUUCAGUUCCAACUCCUGGGAAUGUCCCACGUGCCCCCUUCUGACCCCACCUCACUCCGCUUUCUUCUCCGAUGUCCUGAUUGGGUUUCCAGCUGUGUCACAGUUCAAGCAUCUGAGCUCCCUAAACCAUGUGUCUGUCGUCUCGGACAUCAGCUUGCGGAGGGCCAGUGAGCACGUGGGUGAGAACCGCCUGCUGAGAGCAGCCCUGCUCCCUUGCCUGCAUCAGGAAAUACCAAACAUGAACCCACCAUUUUUUUCAAUCAUUAAGUGGCAUUGGGUCAAAAGCAAUAAAACUCUGACGCAAUCCAAGUUUUCAUGGGAACGAAACGCAAUGGUGACUCGCAUGUAUGGAUGUAUUGUGUAAGUGUGUAAGUUUGAAAUAAAAUGCGAGGUUAUUGUUUCAGUCAGAUCACACAUUUUAUCGGCAUUGGAAAUGUAGUCUGAUACUACUCACGUUAAACAGACAUGCACACACAAAUAAUACUUUAUAUUUUCUGUGGGUAGAUCACAUCGUCAUUAUAGCUAACAUUUUUGUGUAUGAUUUAACUCUCAUGACAAUGCCAUGAGCAAAGCACUGUCUUGGCUACUAACUGUAAAACCUCGGGUAAAAUACUUAGCUCAGUUUCCUCAUUGUGAAAUAAAGAUAGUCAUGCUAUGAGGACUAAAGUAAAUAUCUG
rnacentral:lncRNA from 1 species